UUAAACAAAAAACUCAAUCUUUUAAAGCUUUGUGUGAAUCAUGUGACCGAUCCCGAGCCCUUCCUCUUCAGGUCCAGGAUUCUAGUGGAGGGGAAACUGGACUACGGAGAGUAUGUGGACAAGAACCAAGUCAGACGCCAGGCCACCACCAUCAUCGCAGACAACAUCAUCUUCCUCAGCGACAACAUUCGAGACAGACCCUGAAGGACUUUUCUCUUCGUCUCCAAGCAAAAACAAGUCAACUUCUUUUUGUAUUUUCUCAUUUAUACAAAAAUCUGAGGACCUGAACACCACCAAGUAAAGGAACUGACUUACUGAUGAGAAGGGGGACAGAAUAUGCUGUGACACUCUGUGGUCAUGUUUGACUGUGAUGCCUCCUGCAGACCUUAAGGCAUGAAGAGAAGCUGACGGACUUGUGUAGUAUAAAUACACUUGCUCAUUAUGAUUUUUGAUAGUGCUACUUGUACAUAACAGUUGCAAAGAUAGUUUUGGUUUUUUUGCAUAUACCCAAA